UGUGUGUUGUUAUGCAAGUUGGGUUUAUUUUAAAUAAAUAAAUUAGUGAUUAUAUUGCAUGCCUUUCCACUUGCCAAAUGCUAAUCAUUUUGCCUAAACCCACUUGCUUAGUAAGAUAAAAAAAAAAACCACUCUUCCUUUUUCUUCUUCAAACACCUAACCCCCUACUUGUCUUCCUCUCUCCCUCUCCACCGUAGCAUCAUCACCACCUCCAUUCUUCAUCUUCUUCCACCUCAUUUCUUGUUUUUCAAAGAAAAUGAAAAAUCACUUGAAAAUUUCCCUAUUUAACCACGGUCAUGGAGCAGCCUAGAUCACCACUCAUCUAAGAAAUAUACACCUCAUUUGAAAGCCCACUCAAUCUCUUCCACAAUCAUAGUAGCUUGGUUAGAUUUCGGUGCUUGAAAGCCUCUCUUCUUUCGGUUGCUUUCUUCUCUUCGAUUUUAAGGUAGUGCUAGUGCUAACCCUCCCCCGGAAUGGACCGAGUAGUGGAUCGAAGUCUUGACCGGAGUUUUUGGAAGUUCGAACGAGGGUUCUAUAAGUGUGGCUAAGUACUAUUUUGGUGAUGUAAUAUAAAGUAACUUCCGUUUUCGUUUACUAUCGUACUCGUUUUUUAAAGCACGAGACUUUAAUCGGCAACGGAUCCUAUUUUGAACUCCAUAAUAUAUUGAUCCGUUUAUGUUUAUGAAUAGUUCGUAUAUUUCAUGAUUUAAUCGUUUAUCGCCAAAAUAUUUCUAAACUCUGAUUUUAAUUUCGAACCUAUGUUUUAUGAUAGUGUAGCACUCGAUUAAACUCCUUCU